rnacentral:rRNA from 1 species
CCUACGGGAGGCAGCAGUGGGGAAUAUUGGACAAUGGGCGCAAGCCUGAUCCAGCAAUGCCGCGUGUGUGAAGAAGGUUUUCGGAUUGUAAAGCACUUUCGGCGGGGACGAUGAUGACGGUACCCGCAGAAGAAGCCCCGGCUAACUUCGUGCCAGCAGCCGCGGUAAUACGAAGGGGGCUAGCGUUGCUCGGAAUGACUGGGCGUAAAGGGCGCGUAGGCGGAUGGUACAGUCAGACGUGAAAUUCCUGGGCUCAACCUGGGGACUGCGUUUGAGACGUGUUGUCUAGAGUGAGGAAGAGGGUUGUGGAAUUCCCAGUGUAGAGGUGAAAUUCGUAGAUAUUGGGAAGAACACCGGUGGCGAAGGCGGCAACCUGGUCCUUUACUGACGCUGAGGCGCGAAAGCGUGGGGAGCAAACAGGAUUAGAUACCCUGGUAGUCCACGCUGUAAACGAUGUGUGCUGGAUGUUGGGUAACUUAGUUACUCAGUGUCGUAGCUAACGCGAUAAGCACACCGCCUGGGGAUACGGCCGCAAGGUUGAAACUCAAAGGAAUUGACGG